CGUACCCCAAACCGACACAGGUGGGCGGGGAGAGAAUCCCAAGGCGCUUGAGAGAACUCUGGUGAAGGAACUCGGCAAAAUGACACCGUAACUUCGGGAGAAGGUGUGCCUCCGUCAGGUGACGGGCUUCGCGCCCCGAGCCGAGGGGGGUUGCAACAAAGAGGUGGCUGCGACUGUUUACUAAAAACACAGCACUCUGCAAACUCGCAAGAGGACGUAUAGGGUGUGACGCCUGCCCGGUGCCGGAAGGUUAAGUGACGGGGUUAGCCGUUUUCGAACGGCGACGCUCCCGACCGAAGCCCCGGUGAACGGCGGCCGUAACUAUAACGGUCCUAAGGUAGCGAAAUUCCUUGUCGGGUAAGUUCCGACCUGCACGAAUGGCGUAACGAUGGCCACACUGUCUCCACCAGAGACUCAGCGAAAUUGAACUCGCUGUGAAGAUGCAGCGUACCCGCGGUUAGACGGAGAGACCCCGUGAACCUUUACUACAACUUCACACUGGACUUUGAACAGGCAUGUGCAGGAUAGGUGGCAGGUUUUGAAGUGGAGACGCCAGUCUCCGCGGAGCCGUCCUUGAGAUACCACCCUUGUUUGUUUGGGGCCCUAACCGAGGCCCGUUAUCCGGGUCCGGGACCAUGUGUGGCGGGUAGUUUGACUGGGGCGGUCUCCUCCCAAAGAGUAACGGAGGAGCGCGAAGGUACUCUAAGCACGGUCGGAAAUCGUGCGGUUAGUGCAAAGGCACAAGAGUGCUUGACUGCGAGACAGACACGUCGAGCAGGAACGAAAGUUGGUCUUAGUGAUCCGGUGGUUCUGUAUGGAAGGGCCAUCGCUCAACGGAUAAAAGGUACUCCGGGGAUAACAGGCUGAUACCGCCCAAGAGUUCAUAUCGACGGCGGUGUUUGGCACCUCGAUGUCGGCUCAUCACAUCCUGGGGCUGUAGCCGGUCCCAAGGGUAUGGCUGUUCGCCAUUUAAAGUGGUACGCGAGCUGGGUUUAGAACGUCGUGAGACAGUUUGGUCCCUAUCUGCCGUGGGCGCCGGAGACUUGAGAGGAGCUGCUCCUAGUACGAGAGGACCGGAGUGGACGUACCUCUGGUGUUCCGGUUGUCACGCCAGUGGCACCGCCGGGUAGCUAUGUACGGACGGGAUAACCGCUGAAAGCAUCUAAGCGGGAAGCCCCCCUCAAGAUGAGGUCUCCCGGGGCGUUAAGCCCCCUGAAGGGCCGUUGAAGACGACAACGUGGAUAGGCCGGGUGUGGAAGCGCAGCAAUGCGUGAAGCUAACCGGUACUAAUUGCCCGUGCGGCUUGACCAU
rnacentral:rRNA from 1 species